ensembl:lncRNA
AAUGACAGCAUUUCCAAAGCAGACGUCUGUGGUGGCAGCUGAGGAAGGUUGAUGAUUUCCUGCAUCAUCUCAGGUCCAUCAAUGUCAGCUACUCCCUUAUCUGUCAGUGUCUUCUGUACUUCAGUGCAGUGUUUUUUUAAAUCCUCCUUGGACAUCCCAUUCACUUUGCUGAAAUCAAGCAGCACUCCAUAUUUCUCCUUCACUUGAUUCAUGGUCUCAAACCUCUCCUGUAGGGACAUUAAAGCAGAGUCCACAACACAAUUGAAAAAUGUGACCUCAAGCUUUUUAAGGGCAUCAUGGAGGGGCUCAUCAACAGCUUCAUAUGCAAACUGCCUUUUUGUGCUCCUGAGCCUUUUCUCCUUCAACUGUGGUUCUAUGUUCAGGGCCUCACAGAGUUCUUUGGCAGCUGACACAGCCUCAUCAAACCCAGACUGUCUGUAUUUAGAGAGGUUACUUUUGGCAGUGUCAAUGAGCCUGACAGCAACAUCGAGCUGCAUGGAGCUGGACUGUAGUAACUUGUUCACCUGGUUUGUGAUUGUAAGAAGUUCACACCACACGAUGGAGCAAAUCAAAAAUCGAAAUGAGGCUACUUCCUCAGCAAGCACUUGAGCCUCCACCUUUGCGACUGCAUCACUUACAGCUUCUCUGGCCUCCAGGAGAGCAUCCCUCACUUCUUUUGUCUGACUCCGGACAGCAGUUACACUUUGAAGCCUGCUUUCCCAUCUAACGUCACUCCAAGAUUUAAGUGUCAAUUUCACAUGUUUUGUUAAAAUGGCCCAUCGCUGGGUGGCACUGGAAAAGAAAUUGAACAACUUCUGCAAAUACCCAAAGUAGCCAGUUGCAUCUGGAGAGGACUUGGCAGCAUCAGCUAUGACCAGAUUCAUCGUGUGAGCUCCACAAGGCACAAACAAUGCUCUCGGGUUUAAUUGUAGCAGUCUGGCCUGAACACCUUGCUUCUUCCCCUUCAUGUUGGCCCCAUUGUCAUAGGCCUGUCCUCGACAGUUUUCAAAUGGAAUGCCAAGCUCCUUCAACUUGUCAAGGACAACAUUGGACAGGUUAAGGCCAGUUGUUUGCUCCACAUUUAUAUAGCCAAGAAAGUAUUCUUU